CACGUAGUUAGCCGGGGCUUCUUGGUCAGGUAUCGUCAUUUUCUUCCCUGCUGAUAGAGCUUUACAUACCGAAAUACUUCUUCACUCACGCGGCGUCGCUGCAUCAGGGUUUCCCCCAUUGUGCAAUAUUCCCCACUGCUGCCUCCCGUAGGAGUUUGGGCCGUGUCUCAGUCCCAAUGUGGCCGUUCACCCUCUCAGGCCGGCUACUGAUCGUCGCUUUGGUAGGCCGUUACCCUGCCAACUGGCUAAUCAGACGCGGGUCCAUCUCACACCGAUAAAUCUUUUCCGUCAGUAUCAUGCGAUACCAGCGGGUUAUGCGGUAUUAGCGGUCGUUUCCAACUGUUAUCCCCCUGUGUGAGGCAGGUUACCCACGCGUUACUCACCCGUCCGCCACUCAGUCACAAAAGACUUCAUCCGAAGAAUCGUUCUUAAGCGCUUCGUUCGACUUGCAUGUGUUAAGCACGCCGCCAGCGUUCAUCCUGAGCCAGGAUACAAACUCUCUACG
rnacentral:rRNA from 1 species